rnacentral:rRNA from 1 species
GAUGAACGCUGGCGGCGUGCCUAAUACAUGCAAGUCGAGCGAACGGACGAGAAGCUUGCUUCUCUGAUGUUAGCGGCGGACGGUGAGUAACACGUGGAUAACCUACCUAUAAGACUGGGAUAACUUCGGGAAACCGGAGCUAAUACCGGAUAAUAUUUUGAACCGCAUGGUUCAAAAGUGAAAGACGGUCUUGCUGUCACUUAUAGAUGGAUCCGCGCUGCAUUAGCUAGUUGGUAAGGUAACGGCUUACCAAGGCAACGAUGCAUAGCAGACCUGAGAGGGUGAUCGGCCACACUGGAACUGAGACACGGUCCAGACUCCUACGGGAGGCAGCAGUAGGGAAUCUUCCGCAAAGGGCGAAAGCCUGACGGAGCAACGCCGCGUGAGUGAUGAAGGUCUUCGGAUCGUAAAACUCUGUUAUUAGGGAAGAACAUAUGUGUAAGUAACUGUGCACAUCUUGACGGUACCUAAUCAGAAAGCCACGGCUAACUACGUG